rnacentral:rRNA from 1 species
UCAAACCAAAGCUGGCGACCGGCGCACGGGUGAGUAACACGUAUCCAACCUGCCUCAUACUCGGGGAUAGCCUUUCGAAAGAAAGAUUAAUAUCCGAUAGCAUAUAUUUCCCGCAUGGGUUUUAUAUUAAAGAAAUUCGGUAUGAGAUGGGGAUGCGUUCCAUUAGUUUGUUGGGGGGUAACGGCCCACCAAGACUACGAUGGAUAGGGGUUCCGAGAGGAAGGUCCCCCACAUUGGAACUGAGACACGGUCCAA